UACGUAGGGUGCGAGCGUUGUCCGGAAUUACUGGGCGUAAAGAGCUCGUAGGUGGUUUGUCGCGUUGUUCGUGAAAACUCACAACUCAAUUGUGGGCGUGCGGGCGAUACGGGCAGACUGGAGUACUGCAGGGGAGACUGGAAUUCCUGGUGUAGCGGUGGAAUGCGCAGAUAUCAGGAGGAACACCCAGGGGGAAACCAGCCGACUGGGCAAGUCGGCUGACGCUGAGGUGCGAGAGCGUGGGGAGCGAACCGG
rnacentral:rRNA from 1 species